UACAGAGGGUGCGAGCGUUAAUCGGAAUUACUGGGCGUAAAGCGCGCGUAGGCGGCUUUGCAAGUCGGGUGUGAAAUCCCCAGGCUCAACCUGGGAACUGCAUUCGAGACUGCAUUGCUAGAGUAUGGGAGAGGGAAGUGGAAUUUCAGGUGUAGCGGUGAAAUGCGUAGAUAUCUGAAGGAACAUCAGUGGCGAAAGCGACUUCCUGGACCAAUACUGACGCUCAUGUGCGAAAGCGUGGGGAGCAAACAGG
rnacentral:rRNA from 1 species